UACAGAGGUCUCAAGCGUUGUUCGGAUUCAUUGGGCGUAAAGCGUGCGCAGGCGGUUUUGUAAGCCAGAUGUGAAAUCCCCGGGCUUAACCUGGGAAUGGCAUUUGGGACUGCAAGGCUUGAGUGCGGCAGAGGAGACUGGAAUUCCUGGUGUAGCAGUGAAAUGCGUAGAUAUCAGGAGGAACACCGAUGGCGAAGGCAGGUCUCUGGGCUGACACUGACGCUCAUGCACGAAAGCGUGGGGAGCAAACAGG
rnacentral:rRNA from 1 species